GAUGAACGCUGGCGGCGUGCCUAAUACAUGCAAGUCGAGCGAAUGGAUUAAGAGCUUGCUCUUAUGAAGUUAGCGGCGGACGGGUGAGUAACACGUGGGUAACCUGCCCAUAAGACUGGGAUAACUCCGGGAAACCGGGGCUAAUACCGGAUAACAUUUUGAACCGCAUGGUUCGAAAUUGAAAGGCGGCUUCGGCUGUCACUUAUGGAUGGACCCGCGUCGCAUUAGCUAGUUGGUGAGGUAACGGCUCACCAAGGCAACGAUGCGUAGCCGACCUGGUAGGGUGAUCGGCCACACUGGGACUGAGACACGGCCCAGACUCCUACGGGAGGUAGCAGUAGGGAAUCUUCCGCAAUGGACGAAAGUCUGACGGAGCAACGCCGCGUGAGUGAUGAAGGCUUUCGGGUCGUAAAACUCUGUUGUUAGGGAAGAACAAGUGCUAGUUGAAUAAGCUGGCACCUUGACGGUACCUAACCAGAAAGCCACGGCUAACUACGUGCCAGCAGCCGCGGUAA
rnacentral:rRNA from 1 species